ACUCCCCUGCGGUGUUCGUGAGAAAUGCAUUCCUCCUGAGCCGAUAAUUCAUGAGCCCAGGAAUCCUGCCCUGAUCGUGGAGUGCGAGCCCGCUUGCGGGAUUGCCAGAAGCGAUUAUCAGGAGUCCACUUUACUAAAAGGGUUCAGAGGACGCAAAAUCCACGGCACAGGCGGGGGAUCU
rnacentral:other from 1 species